AUUCGCUGCGCCGCUUACUCGUCAAGGCACGCCGCGCGCUGACUGGCCGCGGCCACCAGUCUCCAGGCCCCAGACGCCCCUCUCCGCCCCCCCGCCCCCGCCCCCCAGCAAAUAAUAAACAAUCGAGUAAAAUUCUAAGGAAGGAGAGAGAGGAGAGGGAAAAAGGGAGAGGGCGCACUAGAAACCAAUCCUUCGCGCGCUGGCGGUGGGAGGGUUCAAGGGGGGACGCGAGAGGACAGCGGACGGGAGGAAGGCAGCCGACUUGGGGCGGUGGGUCUGCCAGCGAAGAGGAGGCGUCGGGGGAGGAAAGUUGCAGCGCACUCGACUGGGCGCGCCUGGCGGGGUGUGUAGAGUCUGGGACACAGAAGAUAAAUCCUCAGUCUUGUCCAAGAUCAGGAGAAUAAGAAGACUCUACCCCCCUAAAACCAGAAGUCCAAAGGGCCAAAGUAAAGGCGAAUGUGAAAUUAACUGGCUUUGCAGAAGAGGAUCCCAGGAAAAAUCGUCUGUCUUGAUCAAAGCCCUGAAUAAAAGAGUAUAAAAAAUAUUCUUCCUUGAAAAUUCACAACUAUGGUGUGGUCCGUAUGUAAUAUUAUGACCAAAAUUCAUGAUACCAUGGAAUUAUUUUAAAAACUUCAUGAGCCCCAGUUUGUGGUGCUUUUAACAACUGGCAGAAGGAAAGACACAUCCUCUUGGAGGGCUAUCUUGAGCCUAGGCCCCAAAGAACUUCCAUAAUCAUAAUCAGAAAACACAAAACAUAUAAUAAGCAAGGCUCCAUGUAGGAGCAGACAGAAACAAAAUGUAAGGUCAGAUACACAAAGGCUGGGGUAUGAGAAUAAGCUGACACAGAAAAUAAGUGUACUUAAUAGGUUUAAACAAAAAGGAAGUUUGAAAAUAGAAGAAAGGAACAAGAGUCUAUAAAAAACAACUGAGUAGAUUUGAAAUCAAAAUACUUCUUUGUUUUUCUUCCCAGCUAGAUAUUAUGUCCUUGAAGACACAGGGAUCAGGCUAAACACUAUAUGUUAUCGUUUGUCAAUUGAAGGAAGUUAGAAACAAAGUACUCAAUUUUUUUUGAAACCCAGCAGUAAGAAUGAGAGUUGUGACUACAUUUUUAAAAUGUAAAUGUAAAAACUCCUGUUGUAAAUGUUAAUCAAUCUCUUCUAGAGGAAAGGAAGACAAAAUCAAAAUUAAUGCAAUGCUUCCGGCUGACUGGCCUCCAGCAAAUGGCAUUGAGCUUUGUAAGUGGUCCAUCUACUCCAUUUCUCAUCUUGCAAAAAUUUGUGAAGUGAGCAUGUGUCCAUGUCCAUGUGUUAGAAAAUCUAUUUAAAAUGCUGGCUGGGCGCAGUGGCUCACCCCUAUAAUCCCAGCAUUUUGGGAGGCAGGGGCGGGAGGUUCACUUGAGGCCAGGAGUUCGAGACCAGCCUGGCCAACAUGGUGAAGCCUCAUCUCUACUAAAAAUACAAAAAUUAGCUGGGCGUGGUAGUGCGCACCUGUAAUCCCAGCUACUCGGGAGGCUGAGGCAGGAGAAUCACUUGAAACCGGGAGGCAGAGGAUGCAGUGAGCUGAGGUCAUGCCACUGCACUCCAGCCUGGGCGACAGAGCAAGACUCUCAAAAAUAAAUACAUAAAUAAACAAAAUGCUUAGUAAUUGGAACUUUAAAUACAAAUUACUUUAAAACAUUGAUGUGGGACAGGCACAGUGGCUAACGCCUGUCAUCCCAGCACUUUCGGAGGCCCAGGCGAGCGGAUCAUGAGGUCAGGAGUUCGAGACCAGCCUGGCCAACACAGUGAAACCCCGUCUCUACUUAAAAUAGAAAAAUUAGCCAGGUGUGGUGGCACGCGCCUAUAUUCCCAGCUACCCGGGAGGCUGAGGCAGGAGAAUCGCUUGAACCCGGGAGUCAGAGGAUGCAGUGAGCCAAGAUUGUGCCACUGCACUCCAGCCUAGGCAACAGAGCGAGACUCCAACCCUACCCAAAAAAAAAAAAUUGAAGUGGUACUUCAAAGAAAUCAAGGCCAUGUGGAAUCAUUCAUUACUCUGCACAAUACAUCGCAUCUCCCUGGUUUGGUUUGGCAUGUCCACUUAUGUGUAAAGUUUCCUGGAAUAACCUGGUACUAAAGCCCCCCAAAGGAUGUGAUUUGGAGCUCCAGGGACAUUAAAUCUGAUUAUUGUUCCUCCCACAUCCAUAUCUAGAAAUGGAGUAAACCUGUGAAACUGGAAGACAGCAGAGGAAAAAUAAAAUGUUUGGCAAA